rnacentral:rRNA from 1 species
GACGAACGCUGGCGGCGUGCUUAACACAUGCAAGUCGAACGGAAAGGCCCUGCUUUUGUGGGGUGCUCGAGUGGCGAACGGGUGAGUAACACGUGAGUAACCUGCCCUUGACUUUGGGAUAACUUAGGGAACCUGGGCCAAAUACCGGUUGGAACCUCCUCCUCACGGUGGGGGUUUGGAAGGUUCCGGCGGUUGGGGAUGGCCUCCCGGUUUAUCAGCUUGUUGGUGGGGUGGUGGCUUACCAAGGUUUUGACGGGUAGCCGGCCUGAGAGGGUGACCGGCCACAUUGGGACUGAGAUACGGCCCAGACUCCUACGGGAGGCAGCAGUGGGGAAUAUUGCACAAUGGGCGGAAGCCUGAUGCAGCAACGCCGCGUGCGGGAUGACGGCCUUCGGGUUGUAAACCGCUUUCGCCUGUGACGAAGCGUGAGUGACGGUAAUGGGUAAAGAAGCACCGGCUAACUACGUG